UAAACAAAUCCAAGUGUCAGAGCUGGAUCUCACUCUAUUUAUAUGAUGUGAUGGUGUCUGUUAAACUUUGGAGAACAGAGAAGACUCCAGUCCAAACAACACACACCAUGUUCUCUACAUCUCUACUGCUCCUGCUGGCAGCUGCUUCUUGUGUUCACAGUGUUGAGCUGAUCCAGACCGGAUCCACAGUAUUAACUCCUGGUCAGUCACUGACUCUGACCUGUAAAGUGUCUGGAUAUUCAUUAACUGAUAGCAGCUACUGUACACACUGGAUACGACAACCUGCAGGAAAAACUCUGGAAUGGAUCGGAGGUAUAUGUGGUGAUGGUAACACUUACUACAGUGAGAAACUGAAAAGCAGGUUUCAGGCUUCCAGAGACACGUCCAGCAGCACAGUGACAUUAACAGGACAGAACAUGCAGACUGAAGACACAGCUGUGUAUUACUGCGCUCGUGAACCACAGUGA